rnacentral:lncRNA from 1 species
GAAGCAUGACGCCAUGGAUCCUGUGAGCCAUUUGUAAAUAUUAUUUUUGAACCUGUUCAUACACAAAUUAUGAGAUGUAUUAAAUCAGGUGAAUUUGAUAUGAUUGAAUAAACAUAUAUUCAGAGUAAAACCAUAAAAGAAAUGCAUAAUAUGUAACAUUUGGAUAUGAGAGGCCGCAAAGAAUUUUUAUUUUUAAGAAUUUACCUUUUGCCACUAACUUAUAAUGACCAGCUUAUUCAAAUAUGCAAGUAAAGGAGAAACUCGUUUUCAAAAUGACUUAUAAGUUCAGGUCCAGGGUAAAUCAAGAUCGUACAAAGAUACUAUUUAGCUCAAAAUAACACAAAUGAUAACAUAAAAAGAAAACAUGUGGAUAGUAUGGUAAAGUAAGAGAGUCAUGUAAAAGCAUUGUUAAAAAAUUUGUACAUAUAUCAUUAUUAUUAAGGAAAAAAAGAGUAUCAAAAUAAAAUCAGGCACAGGUUAGUUUCUAGACCAGCAACUUUUGUGCCUCCAUAGUAUAAAUUAGUGGCAUCAACAUCAGGAAAGACACCAUCUCCAAAGAUAUUUUUGCAAAGGUCCAAAUGUUACUUUGUGUCAAUUUUUGAGGAACGUAUGCUAUCAUUUGAGGGAGCCACCUGAAAGUACGCAACUUCAGUGCAAACUUGAAACCACCAUAACCGAGUAGAACUGUCUUCAUUGAUUGCAGUUUUUUUCAAAUAUUCCUGGUCAUAACUUUUUGGAGUGAUACCAAAGGUUCCAACGUAGUACUCUUUGACAUAUUUGGCAUAUGCAUCCUGUAUAUUGAAUUAUAUAGUUUUCAACUAGAGAACAUAACCACCCACUUAUAUUUGGCAUAAGCAUCUGGGAGAGGGGUGAGAGCACAUACAUGGCACAUCUUCAGAAAUGAAUAAAUAAAUAUAAUAAGGAAAACCAUACCACCAAAUCCUCGCCAGCGUUCUUUGCAUCAACCAAAGGCUUGCAUAACUUAUCU